rnacentral:rRNA from 1 species
CNAUUUUUUGGUUGCAUGAUCGGGCAAGGAAAUAUUUAUAGCUGUAAGAUAGGCAUGCGUCCCAUUAGCUGGUUGGUGAGGUAACGGCUCACCAAGGCAACGAUGGGUAGGGGAACUGAGAGGUUUAUCCCCCACACUGGUACUGAGACACGGACCAGACUCCUACGGGAGGCAGCAGUGAGGAAUAUUGGUCAAUGGGCGAGAGCCUGAACCAGCCAAGUCGCGUGAAGGAAGACUGUCCUAAGGAUUGUAAACUUCUUUUAUACGGGAAUAACGGGCGAUACGUGUAUUGCUGUGAAUGUACCGUAAGAAUAAGC